rnacentral:rRNA from 1 species
UACGAAGGGGGCUAGCGUUGCUCGGAAUCACUGGGCGUAAAGCGCACGUAGGCGGCUUUCUAAGUCAGGGGUGAAAUCCUGGAGCUCAACUCCAGAACUGCCUUUGAUACUGGAGAGCUUGAGUCCGGAAGAGGUGAGUGGAACUCCGAGUGUAGAGGUGAAAUUCGUAGAUAUUCGGAAGAACACCAGUGGCGAGGGCGGCUCACUGGUCCGGUACUGACGCUGAGGGGCGAAAGCGUGGGGAGCGAACGGG